UGGCCAACGUUGCCGCGGGCUGUAAUAGAAAUGGAUGUUUGAGAAAAAACAGAACAGAUCCACGCUCCUUUCUUACCUCUUUUUCCUCUUUUCCCAUCAGCCCCGGGCGUUCCAUUCACUCCUGGGAUGCCAUCAGUCCCAUUCUGACCAGGCAUGCCGUCUGCACCCGGCAAACCUACAGCAACACAAAAAAAUGUUCACCAAGAGCUGAAUGGAAACACCAUCCAACGAUGAGGUAACAAACUGGACCUGGAACCUUCAUGUCCUCUGAUGAUCACAGGCCACAGGACUGAUGCACAUUUCAACCAGAUGCUGAUAAAAUAAUUCAUCAUACAACAACAGACUGUGUAGAGAGUCUCUACGUGUGACUGGCUGCAGUGCUGCUUUCUUUCUCUCACCGGCACCAUGGAGUGGAUCUCCUGCAUCUCCUGCUUCAGCUCCUUCUCCAUCUCUUCACUCCUCUUGUUCCUGGAGUAUUGGUACUGGUAUUGUGGCUGCUCCCCCCCGGCGCUCGCCCUCAACCCGGCCGCUC